rnacentral:rRNA from 1 species
GUGAGGAAUAUUGCGCAAUGGAGGCAACUCUGACGCAGCCAUGCCGCGUGCAGGAAGAAGGCGCUACGCGUUGUAAACUGCUUUUAACCGGGAAGAAACCCCAGGACGUGUCCUGGGUUGACGGUACCGGAGGAAUAAGCACCGGCUAACUUCGUGCCAGCAGCCGCGGUAAUGCGAAGGGUGCAAGCGUUAUCCGGAUUCAUUGGGUUUAAAGGGUGCGUAGGCGGAGCGUUAAGUCAGUGGUGAAAUCCUGCAGCUUAACUGUAGACUUGCCAUUGAUACUGGCGCUCUUGAGUGCGCUUGAAGUGGGCGGAAUGUGCCGUGUAGCGGUGAAAUGCUUAGAUAUGGCACAGAACACCAAUUGCGAAGGCAGCUCACUAAGGCGAUACUGACGCUGAGGCACGAAAGCGUGGGGAUCGAACAGGAUUAGAAACCCUGGUAGUCC